rnacentral:lncRNA from 1 species
UUGUUGUAAGUUGUAACCACAUAAGAGAGAGAAAAAGGUAAAGAAUGGAAGACGGGGCCUCCUCCUCUCCUCCUCCUGCUGCUGUAAAUUUCGAGACUUAAAUUGGUGGGUUAGUAUUUGCAGAAGAGUGGCAGGGCAGGGCAGAGAAAGAGGGGAUUAAUUUACUUUUUUUUUAUUUAGCGAUGGCGGCGUGGUGGCAGAGAGGUAGCUGUAAUUCCGUGCCUUUAUGCACUUAACGCUGUCACAGUAUUGAAGGCGGAGGGAGUCUCGAUUAACUCUCUGUCUCCCCAAAAGUCUUCUCCCCCACAACAUAAACCAAAAAAAGAAAAAAAAGCUGCAAUAGUAAACCCUUUGACAAGCACAAUUAGCAACUCACAGAAUUAGUCACUCCUCUCUUUGACAAUACACAGACACAUACUACAAGAAGAAGCUCAAAUUCUCUCUUGUCCACAUCCCCAGGUACAAAUCAAAAUAUCAAAACCCAGAAAGAAAGAAAGAAAGAAAGAAGACCCAUAUGAUAUAGCUAGUGC